AUUGAGCUCUGGUUAACCGGGGUGGGGGGAGGAACUGCACAUAUUUAAGGGGGACAAACACGGACUUAUUUAAGUGAUGCACCAAACUCAUGCAGGGAAGACGCCACACAAACACGGCGCUGAGAAAGAAUUGGACGUCGAGCGCUCCCGGGAACCCCGGUAACCAGAGCGGCCGGAGCAUGAAAGUAUGGGUUUAAAGAUUGCCUCGGUUUUGAUUUAAUUUGUCCUAUAUUUUUUUGGAUUGAUUUGAUUAUGUAGAGUGGAUUUAUUUUGAGUUUUCUUUGGUUUUCUUCCUUUAAAGAAGUUAUGUUGUUUGCUUUUCCUGAAGUGGAUGGAUUUUAAAACCUGAUCUUAGAGUUUUUUGAUAAUAAAAGAAGUAUCUAUGAAAAUGUUCUAGUACGU